CAGGGUGGUACUGAGGCAGAGGAGGAGUUCCUCAGUGACAGCCCAGAACCCCAAGGCAAGGCUUUGCCCUCACCCUCAAGCAUUGAAGGCAUGCUUCUUGGGUGAACGCUGUAUCGAAAGGUGCACCUUAUACUUUGAUCUGAACACCAUCAGGUUUGGACCCAGGCUGAUUGCUCCCAGUAAGGUGUUCCAUAAACAGGAUCCUGCUGAUGAGAAUGUCUUGCCUCUAGUUCAUGGAAGAUAAUUCCACCAGUUCUAACUGGAAGAGCCAGCUUGCAGUAUGACCUAUAUUUUUGAUUUUCAUAGUAGAGCUGUGUGAACCCUUCCACUUUUGUUUUGAAAUGGCCUGGCAAAUUUCUCACAUUGAAACUCUCUUGCAUGGUUUUGCCCUUGAAGUUCAACAGUAUUUGGACUUGAUCUAGCCUUAUUUGCCUGUGGUUAAAUCUUUUUGCAAAGUUCACCUCUCAUGGAUCCAUGCAAACCCACAAAGGACAGCCUGAAGUUUGCUGGUUCACUGGAAGUGGGAUUAGGCCCAUAUUGGAAAAUACCAUAUUGCAUGCUCUCACAUGAGCACAGAUCUAACACAAAUUCACCCAUGAAGAGCAGCUUCAAAAAAUGUUCACAGAAAUCCAAAACAAACAACAUUUUCUAUCCAACUUUCACUAAAAAUGUAUGAAUAAUUAAAUUUGUGACAAUCACUGCUGGUUCUGAACACAGACUGAAAUCAAACCAAAGCUGAUUUUGAGUGUACUUUAAGUGUGAGUCAAAUAUUCCACUCAUCUCUAGUUUAAAAUAGAAAAUGUUCUGAAGAUCACAACUCUCAACCUCGUAGCCUAGAAGAAUAACAUCUGGAACAUAUUGGAGUUUGCUGUUGUU